GACGAACGCUGGCGGCGUGCUUAACACAUGCAAGUCGAACGGAAAGGCCCUGCUUUUGUGGGGUGCUCGAGUGGCGAACGGGUGAGUAACACGUGAGUAACCUGCCCUUGACUUUGGGAUAACUUCAGGAAACUGGGGCUAAUACCGGAUAGGAGCUCCUGCUGCAUGGUGGGGGUUGGAAAGUUUCGGCGGUUGGGGAUGGACUCGCGGCUUAUCAGCUUGUUGGUGGGGUAGUGGCUUACCAAGGCUUUGACGGGUAGCCGGCCUGAGAGGGUGACCGGGCCACAUGGGAACUGGGAUAGGGCCCGGACCCUUCGGGGAGGAAGAGGUGGGGAAUUUGGAAAAAGGGCCGGAGGCCGGAGGCAGAAACGCGGGGUGCGGAAUGACGGCUUUCGGGUUGUAAACGGCUUUCGCCUGUAAGGAGGCGGGGGGGAGGGAAAUGGGUAAAGAGGCACCGGCAAACUAGGU
rnacentral:rRNA from 1 species